GAUGAACGCUAGCUACAGGCUUAACACAUGCAAGUCGAGGGGAAACGCCAUCGAAAGCUUGCUUUUGAUGGGCGUCGACCGGCGCACGGGUGAGUAACGCGUAUCCAACCUGCCCAUCACUUGGGAAUAACCUUGCGAAAGUAAGACUAAUACCCAAUGACAUCCCACGAAGACAUCUGAAUGGGAUUAAAGAUUUAUCGGUGAUGGAUGGGGAUGCGUCUGAUUAGCUUGUUGGCGGGGUAACGGCCCACCAAGGCAACGAUCAGUAGGGUUCUGAGAGGAAGGUCCCCCACAUUGGAACUGAGACACGGUCCAAACUCCUACGGGAGGCAGCAGUGAGGAAUAUUGGUCAAUGGGCGAGAGCCUGAACCAGCCAAGUAGCGUGCAGGAUGACGGCCCUAUGGGUUGUAAACUGCUUUUAUAAGGGAAUAAAGUGGGUCUCGUGAGACUUUUUGCAUGUACCUUAUGAAUAAGGACCGGCUAAUUCCGUG
rnacentral:rRNA from 1 species